rnacentral:lncRNA from 1 species
AAGCCAUCCGUGGAACUAGAGGUGGCAAUUUAUUAAAUCAGAAUUACCCUAGCCUGCCGCAACAUCAAAUCUCUGGAGAAGGUGUGUGCUGACUUGAUCAGAGGUGCAAAGGAAAAGAAUCUCAAAGUGAAGGAUCAGUUCAGAUGCCUAUCAAGACUCUGAGAAUCACUAUAAGAAAAACGCCUCGUGAUGAAGGUUCUAGGACAAGGGAUCGUUUCCAGAUGAGAAUCCGCAAGUGACUCACUGACCUGGAUGGUCCUCCCGAGAUUGCUAAGCAGAUUACGUCCAUCUGUACUGAGCUGAGAUUCAAGGUUAAAGUCACCACUGCAGAU